UACGUAGGGGGCAAGCGUUGUCCGGAAUCAUUGGGCGUAAAGAGCGUGUAGGCGGCCCGGUAAGUCCGCUGUGAAAGUCCAGGGCUCAACCCUGGGAUGCCGGUGGAUACUGUCGGGCUCGAGUCCGGAAGAGGAGUGUGGAAUUCCUGGUGUGAGCGGUGAAAUGCGCAGAUAUCGGGAGAACACCCGUGGCGAAGGCGGUUCUCUGGGACGGUACUGACGCUGAGACGCGAAAGCGUGGGGAGCGAACAGG
rnacentral:rRNA from 1 species